AAAUGUGGAGGUAGAGAAUACAAUAGUGCUAUUGCACUUCACUUCAUCUACUAAAUGGAUCAUUACCUCUUGUUACAAACAACUCAAAGAUGAGGAACUGAGGCAAACAGAAUUAAAUGAUUUACCUGUGGUCAACAAAGCUAGCUACUGAGAAGAUUCUAAAGCAGACAGAUAAGUAUGGUUCUAAGGACUGAGAGGCAACAUGUCACAACCAAAGCUUGGAUGAACCUUCUUUGAUUUCAGAUAAUUUCUAUUCAGCAGUUAGUGGACAAUGCCAGCAAGGUGUAAUUUUUCCAUUGAGUGUGAAUAG